rnacentral:lncRNA from 1 species
CGCCAGCAGCAGCGUAUCGCCGAUUUCGUCUUUGCCGACAUCGAGCAAGUGCAGCUCGCCGGGCCGUCACAAGCGCCCGAAGUGUGGCGGUUUGCACUGCAUCUUUCAUUGUGAUAUGGGAGAUCGCAACGGACAGAGACGACCAGAUGCAUACGAACGACUGCCAGCGGGGAGUGACCUGUGCCAUAUUUCUCUUAACGUCUCAGGUAUUCAAGAAAUGGCAACAGCCAGAAGUCGCCAUCUUAUCCAGCACAUUAUGGGUACACUCUGGCAGCUCCUACCCCUGCGUCCUACCACCACCCUGUCCUGACUGCGUCCACUAGGGAGUUGGGAGCCUUUGGCGGCUUCUGCCACUGCAUCCUGCCACCACCAUGUCCCGGCCACGUCCACUAGGGAGUUGGCAGCCUUAGUGAUCAUGCCAAGCAGGCUGACAGCCGACAGAAAGAUUCAGGUAAAUACCUGCAAUUAAGCGGCGUCUUUUUGAGUGAAGUGGCUUGUAGCCACUCAGCAAUGAAAGAAGUAACUUCGAAGCAGUUUAGACUCCCUGCUAUCUGUGCAGGGAUGCUCAAGUCCA